rnacentral:rRNA from 1 species
UCCCUACGGGGUGCACCAGGCGCGAAAACUUUACAAUGCGGGCAACCGUGAUAAGGGAACCUCGAGUGCCUGUAUAUGCAGGCUGUCCAGGUGUCUAAAACACACCGAGAAAGCGUUCCUGA